rnacentral:lncRNA from 1 species
GAGCUGAGCCGAACAAAGGCCGUCGUCUUCCUCCAGUUUAUCUUCCUCGAUUGGGAAAAGCUCCAUCGGAUCGGGACACGCGCCGCUGCUGCUCCAGCGGUAAUAGCGAGAUGGACGCCCGGGGUCUGCACGGAGACAGAAUUGGGCAUGCCCGAGAGGGUGCCCGGGGUCUGGGACUGGCCGAGAGGGGCGCCCGAGGGAGGAGGACACGAGCAGGAGAAUUGGGAGGGGCGCCCGAGGAAGGAAGCGCGCAGGGUCUGGCCCAGGCCGAGAGGGGAGCCACAUGGAGGUCCUGCUACAUCGCCGCCGCUCGUCGGGUGGCUCAGGC